CGGCCCGUUCGCCUAUUCUCUCCGUCGCAUGUUUCGUUUUAUCUUGAGUUCACUGUCCGGAAGUGGCAGCUUACACACGAGGUGGUGAGUAGACAAUAUUGGUUUGACUGUUACUGCAAGCAGCCGCAGAUGCGGCGGACAGAGGCAAACAAAAAGCGGCAGCAGAGCAGACCGAGUCGAGCCUUCGCGACCAAACAAGUAGCAGCGGGGUUAGCCGCCGCGGUUGUCGUCGUCUAGUCACUGUGUCCGUAGCGGUGCUGACGGCGUGUGCGUGAGUUAGAGCAAAGGACGGCCAUCUUUCUAUGUCAGCAGCAGCGGCGGUGGUAGUAACGAUAACUGCUGCAGUGUGGCAGCAGGAACGAUCGUCCAGAGGCAGCAGCUGCAAGGAUUUGGCAGAAACGAAACCGAGCGUAGGAACAGCGACAGCCAGCACUAAUACACAGCGAUUGUGAUCAUCGGCUCUAUGUAUUGUACACCGUUCGUAACGUGUCGUUCGUAUGUGCUCGCUUGAGACGAAACACGAUUCGACGACGAGUGCUGUUACGAUCGGUGAUCAACAACUGCGACAAACAUACGCUGGUGGCUGGUCAGCGGCUAGGCAAGCUACGUGAGACUCGGCUACUAGCUACAGUUACACCAACGGCAGUGCUUGUUUGGCUGAUUGGUUACAUGUGACCGCAGUGACAAUAGUUGUUGUUUAUUAUCUCGUGAUCAUUGCUGGCAUCGUCCCUGCCGCCGCCGCCGCCGCCGUGUCGUCGUUAGCAACGUAGCCGACGUUAAGGCCGAUUUUCUACAAAAUCUCGUCUUUUUUGUUCGUUUGUUAUUAUUAGUAUAUCAUCUCAAUCUUUUGCUAGGUUAUCUUGUCGUUGUUGCGUCCUUCCAUCUUUCGAGAGCCGGCAGCCUGGAACGCUAUAGAACACGAACAGCAGUUGGGCGAGGAGAGGUGCCAAACAAAGGUUAAUUUCCUCACUCUUGACCAAAUUCUACUUUUUCCUGCCCCUACUUUUUUGUGUCGCGGUGUGGUAGACACGAUUGAGUUCUUCCCCUCCCAACCUCUUCCCACAGUUCUGUCCCUGCUCCCCAGCAUUCAACGUAACUGCAGCGAAGCAACGUGAUAACAUCUGCAGUUGUAGGAAGAGAAGUUUCUGAUCACCAUCUUCCGUGUUGCUGCUGCUGCCGCCGAUCAUUGCUCGUCAUUUUGUUAUCUUAUCGUUAGUAAUUCUAUUAUUAGACCAACCGAAGCUCAGCGUCUCAGGCACGACAUUCCGUACAGCCUGUAAGACGACGUCGAACGGCCAAUACCCGCUUUCUCCCCAGAAGUCUCGGCAGCAGCGGCCUGGAGCAUUGCCGACGGCGACAACAUCAUCUCGACCACCGCGAUGGAACAGCCCGGCGCCGAGACAACCUGGGACGACGACAAACUGAGCGGGCAGUUCACUAAGUUGAAUGUCGACGCCCCAGUGUUUGUGCCCUCAUUCAUGCCGGCCGCAGGUGGCGGCGGAGGUACCCAGACCCAGCCUGCAUCAACCCUUGUUCAGUCUGUAAUCAACGUCACUGGCGAUAAAGACUCGCCAGUGUCUGAGACGAACAACAAUGCUGAGGAGCCACCUGCGGAUUGGGAAUGCGUGACCGCCGAUACGGAAAGCACGCCGUCCCCAUCACGUUCAGCAGGGUCGUUACAAGGCGCUAGCCCUGAGGAGGGUGGUACUCCCGAUGAGGAAGAAGUUCCAAAGGUCAAGAAGGAGAAGAAGAAAAUAGAGGAGGGCCCCCGAAAAGAGCAUCUAAACAUCGUAUUCAUCGGGCACGUAGAUGCUGGCAAGAGUACGCUUGGUGGCCAACUACUUUUCCUCACAGGCAUGGUUGACAAACGAACUCUGGAAAAAUAUGAACGCGAAGCUAAGGAGAAAAAUCGUGAGAGUUGGUACCUGUCUUGGGCUCUGGACACAAACCAAGAGGAGCGUGACAAAGGCAAGACAGUCGAAUGCGGUCGCGCAUACUUUGAGACAGAAAACAAGCACUUCACAUUGCUGGAUGCACCAGGCCACAGAUCGUUCGUUCCAAAUAUGAUCGGCGGAGCAUGCCAGGCUGACAUCGCAGUCCUGGUGAUCUCAGCUCGUAAGGGUGAAUUCGAAACUGGCUUCGAACGAGGAGGUCAGACGAGGGAGCAUGCUAUGCUCGCCAAGACUGCCGGUGUCAAGCAUCUGAUCGUGCUCAUUAACAAAAUGGAUGAUUCUACCGUUAACUGGUCCGAGGAGCGGUUCAAUGAGUGCCGGGACAAGCUCCUUCCUUAUCUCAAGAAAUGUGGUUUCAACCCGAAGACAGAGCUGAUCUUUAUGCCUUGCUCGGGCUUGAGCGGAGCCGGACUUAAAGAUCCGGCGCCAGCCUCGGAAUGCUCGUGGUACACUGGCCCCUGCUUUCUCCCAUAUAUCGAUCAGUUGAAACCGAUCGACCGAUACCUAGAUGGCCCGUUCGUCAUGCCUGUCGUUGAUAGAUAUAAGGAUAUGGGCACUGUUUGCUUCGGCAAAGUCGAGUCAGGCAUGUGCGAUCGCUCAGAUCCACUACUGCUAAUGCCUAACCGCAAGGUCGUCGAGGUGUUGCAACUUUGGAGUGAUGAGGACGAAGUCCAACAGGUAAAAUCCGGUGAGAAUGUCAAGGUGAAACUAAAGGGCCUUGAGGAAGAAGAAGUCUCGCCAGGCUUCGUGCUCUGCGAGGUGGAGCGGCCCUGCAAGGUGGCUAAGGUCUUUGAUGCACAGGUCGUAAUCCUUGAGCACAAGUCCAUCAUCUGUCCAGGCUAUUCGUGCGUGCUCCAUAUUCAUGCCGCCAUCGAAGAGUGUUCAGUUCGACAGAUCAUCUGUUUGAUCGACCGCAAGACUGGCGAAAAGGGCCAAAUGCGGCCCCGAUUCGUCAAACAGGACCAGGUCGCCGUUAUGCGGUUGGAAACUGCCGGCGUCGUGUGCGUCGAGCCGUUCAAAUUGUUCCCGCAAAUGGGCCGCUUCACGCUGCGUGACGAGGGUCGCACAAUCGCCAUUGGAAAGGUCCUGCGUGUUGUCGAAUGACUGCCGGGCGCUAGUAAACUCAACGCCCUCAGCAACAGCAGGCAAAGUUCAGCGGUCGCCACGGACAGCAGUAGCCCCGGCAUGCCGCGCGGAUCCAUCCGGGUGCGGAAUGACUCGCCUCACGGCGCCGCGGCCAAAAGGAAGAUGACCAACAAGAACUUAAUAGGAUAUCCGGAUGAUGCGACAAACAACAAUUGCUUGGUCUGGGAGAACGUGGUUGUCUCCAUGGAGACGGACGAGGCUGAGGAUCCGACAAACGGUGAACCCCCUGACAUUACAGACAACAACAGCAGCAAUAACGACAACAAUCUUAUGACCUCGAGCGCUAAUACGACCUCGGUGGCCACUUGUCAGGCCUGGGUGUCCCGUCGCCCUAUGGCAUUUAUGUGACAAAGGGAGCCGGUCCUCGCGGACCGCCCGUCUCCUCCGCAGAGGCCAUCUCAGCCCCGGUGGAACGACAACAACACAUCUAUGACUAGCAAAAGCAGAAGCAGAAACGGAAACAAUAAUAACGACUUGAAUAUCGUCUACUCUAACAACAACAAUAACAACAGCAGUUACUACGAGUUCAACAGAAACAAGAAUAGCACGUCUGCUACGACGAAGUUGCUAAAGCCGACGAUAGCAUGGCCCGUCUUGACAGGAGAGGCUACGGCCAAUCCGUCGUCGACAUCGUUCGUUCAGAGCAACGAGCGCAAACACAAGAACAUCGAUAAUGACAACUGUAAUUACGCUAAGAGCGGCUUGAGCAACUGUAGUAACCACAAUACAACAGUCACAGCUAUAACAACAACAGCCACAACAAACUAUGAUCACAUCGAUAGGGACAACGUACUCCUUAGCUUUCGGUCUGCGCUCCGUUUGUGCUUGACAGCUUCGCAAGUAACGGAUUCUAAGUUAAAAACAUCGCGUUUCUUCUCCUAAAUUAAUUAAAGUUCAUUAAAUCGACCGCACGUAAUAUCGGCAUGAAAGCUAAAAAUUAAUAAAAAAGGCAACAAAGAGUAUAAGCAUAACAAUGAUGGCAGAUUUUACGAGAUCAUCAGCUAUUCUGUAAUUAGUUACGUAUUACCACCAUAUACUGUGAAUAAUUAAUUAGUAAUUACCAUAACAGCUUUAUGAUUACCUAUCGUCAAACGAAUUAUUAUAAUAGCAUUAAUAAUAUCUUUGCUUAUACGUACAAAAAGCUAUGACGUAAAGGAAUAUUGCUACGCAAAACUAUACACAGAUUUGUCUUAAUUAAAGUCACAUACACAGACAGACACACGUAAACACUCCUAUCCUGAAUAGCUGAUUAUCGCAAGAUAGUGCUAAAUAAUAAUCAUGCAAUAGCAGUUUGCUGAUUGUGAGCGGACAAUUAAGCUAGCGGUCAGUCAAGUCAUUGCUGCGAUGGCUUGAAUAGCAAUUGAAAUAAUUCAUAUUAAUUAGUAUCAGCAAUAAUAAUGAUAACGGCUUCAUUAAUGGUGCGGUGCAAGAGCCGAUUGAUCGACACUUUGCACUUGCGACAAUGCUAUAGUCUUCUACAAAAUCUGAGCAUGAUAGCACAUCAAUGACACCAGCGGAGGCUCAGCCGUCGUGUCCCAUUGAUUCUCUAUGAUAAAAGGAUUCUGACCAGCAAAUCAUUGAUCAACCUUCCUAUCGACGACGUAGGAUCAGUGUCUGGGAUCGAUCGAUUAUGAUCUUAGCGUAUACGAAUUAACCACCAACUCUUACUAUACUUCAUAAUAUAAAAAAUCAGUAACUGUAAUUUUUUGUAGCAAUAUUAUUAGCGCCGCGGAUGUAUUGACUGAUAACGAACAACUAGUACUCACUGAAGAAGCGUCUGGUGAAUGGAAGACAAGGAGAUUGGUUCGUAAGUGAGGAAGAAUAAUCGCUAAGAAUAUAAUCAUAAAAUAUUACCAGUCAAUGGUCAUUGACAAUAAUAAUGGUAGAUGUGGCUGUGAUUGUUCUAUUUGCUGAUUGACUCUGGCUGCACCACAUACGCGCUGCGCGUUUUUUGCUUACAGCAAAACAAGCGUCCUGUAACAGACGAGCAAACGCCGAUUAUAAAAGACGAGCUACUUAAGACGCAACAGUUUUGUUCUUUUGCAUCGGUACGCAAUAAAUAUUGUUAUAUUUCGAUACCUAAAAACACAAGCCUGCGAUCGUCCAUAGAUCAAAGCUGUUGAUCUCGAAAUCAAUCAAUCAAUCAGUCUGUUGGUACUUGAACCGUAUCGCAUCCAAGAUUACAACUACUAAUACCACGAUAAUGACGACAUCGAUUACAUUAUAUACACUUUUAUACUAUACCAAUAUUAUAAUUAAUCGACAACAAGUAUAAUCAUUAUCGAUCCUAUAUGAGCGGCCACUUUCAUUUUGUGUUAAGUGCUGGGUGUUAAAAGGCGCGCAUAAACUCAGCCAAGGGUACGUGGCCCAUUUUCACAAAUAUCCAAGGGGUAUUGAAGGGCGCGAAGGAAGCUCUAUUAAUUUUCAUAUAAACAUGGCACACUGAGUUGGUCAUCUUUUCUUUUGUCUAUGCAGCGACACAAAAAACAAACACAAAUCGACUCGAAUAAGCACAAUGAGUUGUUCUACGUUUUAGCUUGCUUAUCUGGGUCAUCCUUAGUUUACAUAAUGCAUACUACAGAUAUCAAUAUAAGUUACGUUUAUAUGCUAGUAGUAAAGAUGAAAAAAAAUGUGGGAACUUUUCCUCUUUCUGAUCAAAGAACAACGGAGUAUGGGGAGGAAGAGGGCGUGAGGUGCCGUCUUCGAGAGUCAGAGUGACGGCUUGCAACGUGUUGAAGUUUAUCGAUAGCUCAGAUGAGCGAUUUUCUAGCUCUGUCUCGUGUGACUCACUUUUUGUUUAGUUUGACAGGCAGUUCAGUUUGGUAAAUGGUAAAACAAACUUUUUACCUAUCCGCAUUGACAACAUUUCCUUCAGUUCAAUUUCGUUGCUUUUCCUCGAUUACCAGCGGAUUAAACAUUUAUUAUUUAUCGUGGCGACAAUAACGAUGAUAAUGAUUUUUGUCAUGACUGGCAGAUUUCGAUUACUGUAACGACGGAUACUGCUACGAUUGUUAUGAAACUAUGAACCUAUGCUGAGUGGUGAUGCGAAACUCCGAUUUUUCUGCGUUGCUACAUUUAUCUCAUUUACGACAUGGACAUUUACGAUUAUUUUAAUGAUUCUUAUGAAAAAGUCUAAGAACCAUUACUAAUUGUUGAUCAAAUAAGACGACUGAAACCUUUUGAGACAGCGAAAACCUCAGACCACAAACUGGUUGGCGUCGACGAAACAACGCCGACGUUCGUUUUCAGAAACAAAUCCAUAUUAAUUACAUUAUAUACUAAUAAGCAAAAAUAUCAAACUGAGAAAGACAAAUAAUGAAAACAUUGUGUUGCUACUAUUGUUUUUUUGUCAGAGACAUACUACGAUACAGAUAAGCAGUCCCAUGUAUGCGAUGACGUUUAUAUAUGAAACACAUUGACAUACAAGUGGAGAUAUUGGACGUCGCAGUGAAAACUCACUUAGAGUGAAUAAAAUACCAAGACGGACAUGGUGUUGGACAUGGACUUCGAACGACCUGUAAUGGAUCAAAAUAUGUCAAUGAUAUAAACGAAAACUCGAUAAAGCAAAUUGGCAUAAAAGGCCAAGUAAGGGAAGAUACGGUAUAAUAACAUUUGGUCCUAUUUCAUUAGAACUGCUUCCCACGUAAAAUAUGGUAAUAACUGGUAUAACAUCAAUAUGUUGUAUUGCAUGCAUGGUGUACACUGAGGACACCUGCCUGAAAUGUGAAAGGCAUCGAAAGAGUAGAAUAAUAAGAUGACGCUGAUAUAUUGUACUGCUCACUUCAAUUAAAUAAUUACUAAUUAUUAUAUAUAUAUGCAUAUUAAAUAGAUUAAUAAUUAAAUAAAUAAUUAAAAACGUAAAUGCUUGAUUCAGUGAAGACCAGCAACAACAAUAAAAAGGCGCAGAAGAGGACAAAUCUAGACAGCCACCGAGAAGACUGCGCUUAAUUAUGAGUUAUAAGUGAAAAUUGUGUCAGAACAGCGGGACCCUGUAUUGUGCUAGCGGCAGUUAAAAUUGAGAUAUAGGUAUUUUUUGACAUACUAUUGGUUAUACUGGUAUAUAUGUAUGUUUGUGUGAAUAAAGAAAGAGAUUAUAUCUGGUUU